GAAAUGCGAUAAGUAAUGUGAAUUGCAGAAUUCAGUGAAUCAUCGAAUCUUUGAACGCACAUUGCGCCCGCUAGUAUUCUGGCGGGCAUGCCUGUCCGAGCGUCAUUUCAAGACUCGAGCAUCGCUCGGCGUUGGGGGCCUACGGCGUCCGUAGCCCCCUAAAACCAUCGGCGGUCCCGCCGCGGCACCUCUGCGUAGUAGACAAACCUCGCACCGGCGCCCGGCGGCGGCCAGCCGCUAAAGCCCCCAAAUUACAGAAUAAUUGACCUCGGAUCAGGUAGGGAUACCCGCUGAACUUAA
rnacentral:misc_RNA from 1 species